GCCCCUAUGGCGUAGUGGUAGCGCGUGUCACUUGUAUUAUCAGGCAUGACAAGGUCUCUCGUUCGAUCCGGGAUGGGGGCA
rnacentral:tRNA from 1 species